rnacentral:rRNA from 1 species
GAUGAACGCUGGCGGCGUGCCUAAUACAUGCAAGUCGAGCGAACAGACGAGGAGCUUGCUCCUCUGACGUUAGCGGCGGACGGGUGAGUAACACGUGGAUAACCUACCUAUAAGACUGGGAUAACUUCGGGAAACCGGAGCUAAUACCGGAUAAUAUAUUGAACCGCAUGGUUCAAUAGUGAAAGACGGUUUUGCUGUCACUUAUAGAUGGAUCCGCGCCGCAUUAGCUAGUUGGUAAGGUAACGGCUUACCAAGGCAACGAUGCGUAGCCGACCUGAGAGGGGAGUCGGCAAGACGGGAACGAGAACACGUCCCAACCCCCGAGGGGGGGAAGCAGUGGGGAAUGUUCGCCAUGGGGGGAAGGCGGGAGGAGACAACGCCGGGGGGGUGAGAAGGGUCUAGGAAUUGGAAAACUUUUUUAUUGGGAAAAAACAAAGGUGUAAGGACCUAUGCAGGUCUUGACGUUACCAAAAAAGAAAGCCACGGCUAAUUGGUU